AUGGGAUGGUGGUGGCUGGCUGGGCUAAAGCUUUCCUCUUGUUUCAUGGGUAGACUCAAAUUCAAUAUUUAUAUUUGGUUUUGCUUAAGACGGACAAGCCCGGCUGGCUGUGGAGUAGAGGGAAACACCUCUUUUAUCAAAAUUGGCUUCAAAAGAUGUCUAUCUCCCGUUUCUGGUGAAAAGCAUCCAUUUCUUGGAGAAAUGCCACUGUGGGAUUGCAAGUCCCAGGACCAGGACUUCUAUGUGUCUCUUUUUCCAGCGAAGUGGCUAAAGGAAAAGGUGGUGGUACCCUUGGAAAUCUCCAGGAGCAGCUUCAACAGUCAACUACACCAGUAGUGCUUACAGCUGGAAAAUUCAUGCCAGUGGAAGAAUCUGUAGUGUCGCACAAACUCGCUGUGAAGCUGAGGAAUGUGCCUAAUGCCUGGAGCUGAACAAAAUGGCGGCCGUUUUUCUUUCCAGGAAAGGAGACUUCACAGGAGAUGUGGUCAAAGAAGGAGGAGACUCAAUGGCCUUUUCUUUUUCCUUCAUUUUUCAAAGAAAGAAGCUAAAUGAGAACAUUAAACCAGAAAGAGCAUUGUGUUCAUUGCAGAACUUUUCAAGGCUUGGUGGAGAGAUUGAUAUAAACAAAUUACGCAGUUUCUCCUUUGGUGACCUUGAUCCUGAGAGUGAAUGUGACGUUCCUACAGCUUUUUGUCCCCUCUAUCACUGCAGAAGUUGCAGACUGUGCUCAGCAAGACCUCACAAAAUGGAGGAAAAUUAAAAAGAGAAAUGGUCCAUGGUAUAUUCUCUUACUUGCCAUAAAUUGGCGUCAUUCUGGCCACCAUCCAGGAGAGAAAAACUAGCCUAUAGAAACAGCAAAGGAAGAUCAGAAACUGAUGUAAGGAAGGGAGCUUUGUCAUGUUGCUGUCCUCAGGAUGGAAUAGGAAAACUGAGCAGGAAUUAACAGGAGCAAAUAGUCAGCGGGGUCUCUUUUAGAGGAAAUCAGUCUAGUGGAUU
rnacentral:lncRNA from 1 species